rnacentral:sRNA from 1 species
UAAGUAUUUACUUAUAUAGUUUAUUUGCCACUAAAAGGGAAUGAAUAUUCGUUGUUGUGAUUUAAAAGUGUUAGAAGAGUGAUUUGAUAGAGUUGGAUGAGGGAUUUUUUUUAAAGAGGUAGCGAAAAGAUUCGAUAGAUUUAGAAGAGUGAUUAUACAGAGCUAGAGGAGUGAUUAGACAGCUAGAGGAGUGAUUAGACAGCUAGAGGAGUGAUUUGACAGCUAGAGGAGUGAUUUGACACAGAGAACUACAAUAGGAAGCUGCUACUGCAAGAAGAGAAGUUCACACUUCUGAUGUUGAUUUUCCCCCCCAGAAAAGGCAACAAAGUACAUGAUCAUGGGAGUUCAAGCUGUGUUUUUAAAGUACUGAAAGGAAAAUUAUUUGAACGCCAGUACCACAAGCCAAGAGGGGAACAAAAGACAUUAGUGAGGAAAGGACAGAUAACGUAUAGAUCUAAAGACGGUGAUUUGAAUGUUUCCUCAGCUACCAAUACGCUUCACAGUGUCAGGAAUCUCAGUCGUCGGAAGACCGCAGUGUCUUUGGUCUUAUAUUAGUAAGUACAAGUCAUGGUCAAACUCACUUCCAGACGCUUAUUCUUUCUC